AGUACUGGGGAAAUAUGCAGAGCACUUUCUAUCAACCUGUGAAAAGCAGGCCAAUUCUAACUCUGCAUGAACCUACAUCUGAUAGGAGAGGAAAAGGAACCGUGCUGCUUUCAAAGGGAGCCAAAUGACAUUGCUCUCUAAUGGCACCACCACCUAAAGAGUACAAAGAGGCUGUUGUUCUUUACUGCAAAGUAGAAAUCAUAGAGAUGAGCCAGAAAUAGAUGACAUACUCCCGCCAGGAAGGAACUGUCUGGAAAUCAACCAUCAACACAUAAGCAAAGAGGAAGAGGAAGGUGAAGUAGGAAAGGAUGUUGAGGUGGAAGAUGACAACAGGCGCAGUGAAGAAGGCUCGGAAGCGUUUCAGGCAAGACGUUGACUGCAGCCGCUUCUCUCUGUGGAAAGGAGGGAAGUAGCAAAGAAUGAUGUGGCUGUCAGUGCAGCUGGGAGUUCAUGUAAUUGCAUGAUUCUUCCAUAUCAAUACGCAUGCUGUGUGAUCAGGGCAGAAGGAAUUCUGCCAGUUCUUCACGAGAGCCCUUGGGCUUCUCCUAUUCAUUGAACUAGGGGGUCCUAGCCUUGGGUCACCAAAAAGUUUUUCGCAUAGGACUUUAUAAAGCCCUUUAACUUGCAUCUGCUCCGGAAUGGAGGGAGUGCAUUCACAUAUCGGCCAGAUUUACACCAAAGUCCCUAUGAGUUCAUACACAAUUUGGGUUUUUCAUUGCGCAUUAGAGUGUAGUCUAAUUUAUAUCCAGGCCAAAAGAAAUCCACUAUUUGUGUCGAUUUUUUGAGACAACUUUGAGCUCACAGUAAAGACUUCUCAUAAACUCAUGGUAAAGCCUGCUGUGUGUAAACAUCCCAGGAGCUUUCCCGGACAGCAGGCUUUACCGCAGGUUUACUGCAAGGCUUUAUUGCGAGUCCAAAGUUGCCCCCCCCCCAAAUGACACAAAAAGUGGAUUUUUUUUUUACCCCGGAUAUAAAUUGGGCUACACUUUGACAUGCAAUGAAAAACCUGAACUGUGUCUGAAGUGCUCCCUGAUAGCUCACAGGGGACUUCGGCAUACAUUUGGCCAAUAUGUGAAUACACCCCUCCAUUCCAGAGGAAAUGUGAACUAAAAGCCAGGUGUGAAAAACUUCCAGAAGUUGUUGGAAUAUAACUCCCAUCAUCCCCAGCCACAAAGGUUGAAUGCCAGGAUGAUGGAAGUUGUAGUCCAACAACAUCUGGGGACUUAAGUUUGGGAACCCCCUGAAUUAAAUAAAGUCUUGCCCAGCCAGGUUUUAAGGUAAUUACUCAGAGAGCACUGAAUUAUUCUGAAUCCCCGAGUGCAGCUCUAGCUUCCAAGACUGUCACCAGCAAGGAGACAUCUGACCCUGGAGAGAUGGCAUCAUGUUAAUGAAUAAACACACUUCUAAAAGGCACUUGCUGUAUGGGAAGGGUUUUUCUGCUUCUGUUUGUCUUUUUAAUGGGGUUUUUAUGUCUGUUUUAUGGUUUUUACAGUUUAACUGAUUUUAAGGAUUUAAAUGUGAUUUUUAUGGUGUUUUAUUGUAUUUUAACUUCUGUAAACCGCCUUGAGAUGCCUUAUGGAAAGUGGUAUAAAAUUGAACAAAAACAAACAAAUAAACCCAGUUAUGGCAAAGAUAUGGAGCUAUGCUUCUGUUAGAAACAACUUCUGCUUGAGUUUGUAUUUCAUCAGCCAAACUAUACCCAUUUUUGUAAGGUUUCCAUAUUGCUUGCACCCUUUUUACCUUCAGAAAGAGGGAAAGUGUUGGAAGUUAAAGGACUUUGCGCUGUCUCUUUGCCUCAGACAGUGGAGGACAGACUAGUAAGUCAGAGGGCUAGAGAGUCAAGACAUUGGUCAUCCCUUCUCCACUGCUCUGAUGCUAUCCCUUUGAAAUGUAGAUUGCUACUCUUAGGGAAUUCAACUUCCUCCCUCUCUCUCUUCCUACCUGCCCUUCUACCUUGCAACAUGGCAAGUCUCUCUCCCUGCACCAUAUAUGCAGAGAGGAUGCAGAAUCCAUCUGCAUCCAGCUAGAUAGAUAGAUUAGAGAUCCUAACUCCUCACUUUCCUAUCUAGAAUGGAGUUCCUUAAUAAAUGCCUUUUGUAUUGAUUUGAAACUA